UUUAAGGUCUAAUCUGCCCUAUGAGGUAUUAAAUGGCCGCGGUAUUUUGACUGUGCAAAGGUAGCAUAAUAAUUAGUUUUUUAAUUGAAAGCUAGAAUGAAUGAUUGGACGAGAAAAUAACUGUCUCAAUUUAAUUUUAUUAGAAUUUUAUUUUUAAGUAAGAAAGCUUAAAUUUUGUUAAAAGACGAGAAGACCCUAUAGAGUUUUAUAAUUAGUUUAUUAUUAAUUUUUAAGAAUUAUUGUAUUAAAAUUAAAUUAGUUAUUUUAUUGGGGUGAUAAGAAAAUAUUAUAAACUUUUUUUUUACUAACAUUAAUUUAUGAUUUUAUGAUCCAUUAUUUAUGAUUAAAAGAUUAAGUUACCUUAGGGAUAACAGCGUAAUUUUUUUUUAGAGUUCUUAUCGAGAAAAAAGAUUGCGACCUCGAUGUUGGAUUAAAAUAAAUAUUAGGUGUAGAAGCUUAAUUAUUAGGUCUGUUCGACCUUUUAAAUUUUACA
rnacentral:rRNA from 1 species